rnacentral:rRNA from 1 species
CAUGCAGUUCGAGCGGCAGCGGGAAAGUAGCUUGCUACUUUUUGCCGGCGAGCGGCGGACGGGUGAGUAAUGCCUGGGAAAUUUGCCCAGUCGAGGGGGAUAACAGUUGGAAACGACUGCUAAUACCGCAUACGCCCUACGGGGGAAAGCAGGGGACCUUCGGGCCUUGCGCGAUUGGAUAUGCCCAGGUGGGAAUAGCUAGUUGGUGAGGUAAUGGCUCACCAAGGCGACGAUCCCUAGCUGGUCUGAGAGGAUGAUCAGUCACACUGGAACUGAAACACGGUCCAGACUCCUACGGGGAGCAGCAGUGGGGAAUAUUGCACAAUGGGGGAAACCCUGAUGCAGCCAUGCCGCGUGUGUGAAGAAGGCCUUCGGGUUGUAAAGCACUUUCAGCGAGGAGGAAAGGUCAGUAGCUAAUAUCUGCUGGCUGUGACGUUACUCGCAGAAGAAGCACCGGCUAACUCCGUGCCAGCAGCCGCGGUAAUACGGAGGGUGCAAGCGUUAAUCGGAAUUACUGGGCGUAAGCGCACGCAGGCGGUUGGAUAAGUUAGAUGUGAAAGCCCCGGGCUCAACCUGGGAAUUGCAUUUAAAACUGUCCAGCUAGAGUC